AUCACUUUUCUGCCUUUUGGCUAAGAUCAAAUGUAGUAUCUGCUCUUAUCAGUUUAAUAUCUGAUAUGUUCUUUAAAUGAAUGUUAUAUUAAAGAGAUUUUUAGAACAGGGAGCUGGAAUAGGGGCUUGCUCCUUCUGCUUCAUGCAUCAACCUAGUAUUGCAGUACCUCCAGGAAUAGUGCCCUUCUU